AGGUAACAUACCCUUCGGACGGGCACAACCCCGGGAAACUGGGGCUAAUUCCCGAUAGGUACCCCCUUCUGGAAUGUGGGGAUAUCCAAAGCUCCGGCGCCGAAGGAUGGGCCUGCGGCCGAUUAGGUUGUUGGCGGGGUAACAGCCCACCAAGCCGACGAUCGGUACGGGCAGUGAGAGCUGUAGCCCGGAGAUGGGGACUGAGACAAGGCCCCAGGCCCUACGGGGCGCAGCAGGCGCGAAACCUUCACAAUGCACGAAAGUGUGAUGAGGGUACUCCGAGUGCGCAUACAUUGUAUGUGCUUUUCUGCAGCGUAAAUAGUUGCAGGAAUAAGGGCUGGGCAAGACCGGUGCCAGCCGCCGCGGUAACACCGGCAGCCCUAGUGGUGGCCGCUUUUAUUGGGCCUAAAGCGUCCGUAGCCGGACAGGCAAGUCUUUGGGUAAAUCCUACGUCUUAAGCGUGGGAAUUCUAAAGAUACUACCUGUCUUGAGGCCGGGAGAGGCUGGAGGUACUCCUGGGGUAGGGGUAAAAUCCUAUAAUCCUGGGGGGACCACCGAUGGCGAAGGCAUCCAGCUGGAACGGGCCUGACGGUGAGGGACGAAACCCAGGGGAGCGAACCGGAUUAGAUACCCGGGUAGUCCUGGGCGUAAAUGAUGUGGGCUUGGUGUGAGCGCAUCGACGAGGUGCGCUUGUGCCGUAGGGAAGCCGUUAAGCCCACCGCCUGGGGAGUACGGUCGCAAGGCUGAAACUUAA
rnacentral:rRNA from 1 species